CCCUUAUCAAGAGAGGUGGAGGGAAGGGCCCUAUGAAACCCGGCAACCGGCCAGAGAGCGCGGUGCCAAUUCCUGCAGGUUUAUCCUGAAAGAUGAGGA
rnacentral:ncRNA from 2 species